UGCAGUCGAACGGCAGCACGGGAGCAAUCCUGGUGGCNAGUGGCGAACGGGUGAGUAAUACAUCGGAACGUGUCCUGUAGUGGGGGAUAGCCCGGCGAAAGCCGGAUUAAUACCGCAUACNCUCUGCGGAGGAAAGCGGGGGAUCCUUCNGGACCUCGNGCUACNGGGGCGGCCGAUGGCAGAUUAGCUAGUUGGUGGGGUAAAGGCCUACCAAGGCGACNAUCUGUAGCUGGUCUGAGAGGACNACCANCCNCNCUGGGACUGAGACACGGNCCAUACUCCUACGGGAGGCAGCAUUGGGGAAUUUUGGACAAUGGGCGCAAGCCUGAUCCAGCAAUGCCGCGUGUGUGAAGAAGGNCUUGAGGUUGUAAAGCACUUUUGUCCGGAAAGAAAACCNUCUGGCUAAUAUCCGGGCGGGAUGACGGGACCGGAAGAAUAAGCACCGNNUAACUACGUGCCANCAGCCGCGGUAAUACGUAGGGUGCAAGCGUUAAUCGNAAUUACUGGGCGUAAAGCNUGCGCAGGCGGUUCNCUAANACAGAUGUGAAAUCCCCGGGCUUAACCUGNGAACUGCAUUUGUGACUGGCGGGNUANAGUAUGGCANAGGGGGGUAGAAUUCCACGUGUAGCAAUGAAAUGCGUAGAGAUGUGGAGGAAUACCGAU
rnacentral:rRNA from 1 species